UAUAUAUAUAGUAUAUUUUCUUUUAGGGCAAUUACAUCAAUAUAUAAGCCAAGUACCAAAAAAACAUCCAAAUAUAUGAUAAAGUAUCUUAAAACCUUAUAUAUCCUUAUAAGAAAUAUUUCCUAAACUUCAACAUCUCAUAUCUCACGAUUGAAUAGUCCAAAAAAUCCUAAAUUUUACAUGGAGUACUGAUAUACUUUCAAAAACUACCACAAAAAAAUUCAACUCCAAAUUCAUUAGAAAUCUUGAGAUAUUGCCAAAAUCCUAAUAUUAGCU
rnacentral:lncRNA from 1 species